CAUGCCUUUCCUACCCUUCAGACUUUCUCCCCGACUACUGAACAAGAAGUGGCUGCACUUCUUUUCUUUCGCCCCAACCGCUUGCCCAGCCGAACAUAUCCCAUCUCACCUUAUCAGAUCUCUCUCCCCUUGUCUAGCGCCUUCCUUAACACACAUCUGCAACUGCUCUCUCUCUUCUGGCAUUGUCCCUGCUGACCUUAAACAUGCCACUGUAGUACCUAUCCUGAAAAAAACCCAUCUCUUUACCCAUCCUCCCACUCUAACUACCAUAACCAUAUCUCUG